GCUCCAUCCUGUUCUACAAUCCUAACUAAUAGCUGAUUCCACUUUGGAUCUCAUGAGGAAUGGCUUCUACAGAGCAGAGGCGUCAGCCAUCAGAGCUGUCCAUGAACACAAGGGAUUAUGACAUGUUCCUCCUCAGUCCCUCUCCCUCCCCUGGCUUCAGUGCCAGCUCUCCUCACAGGCCAAGCUGGGAUAGCCCUCUAGUGGCUAAAACACAGAAAUUGCCUGGUCUUACUGAGAAUCACAAGGUGUAGCAAGCACUAUGUUCAGUCACCGGUCUCCACCACACAAGACCACAGAAUGUCUUAAAGAGACCCCUGCAGCCUCCCAGCAUUUUAUGCUAAGUUAAUUUACCCAAAUAUAUCCACGGCCGGGCAGAGCGACUUGGAACGGCGGAAUUCCAGGCUCCGUCACCGGCUCCGUUAAUGGAAACCUGC